rnacentral:rRNA from 1 species
UGGGGAAUAUUGCACAAUGGGCGCAAGCCUGAUGCAGCCAUGCCGCGUGUAUGAAGAAGGCCUUCGGGUUGUAAAGUACUUUCAGCGGGGAGGAAGGGAGUAAAGUUAAUACCUUUGCUCAUUGACGUUACCCGCAGAAGAAGCACCGGCUAACUCCGUGCCAGCAGCCGCGGUAAUACGGAGGGUGCAAGCGUUAAUCGGAAUUACUGGGCGUAAAGCGCACGCAGGCGGUUUGUUAAGUCAGAUGUGAAAUCCCCGGGCUCAACCUGGGAACGGCAUCUGAUACUGGCAAGCUUGAGUCUCGUAGAGGGGGGUAGAAUUCCAGGUGUAGCGGUGAAAUGCGUCGAGAUCUGGAGGAAUACCGGUGGCGAAGGCGGCCCCUGGACGAAGACUGACGCUCAGGUGCGAAAGCGUGGGGAGCAAACAGG